CCUACGGGUGGCAGCAGUGGGGAAUAUUGGGCAAUGGGCGCAAGCCUGACCCAGCAACGCCGCGUGAAGGAAGAAGGCUUUCGGGUUGUAAACUUCUUUUAAGAGGGAAGAGCAGAAGACGGUACCUCUUGAAUAAGCCACGGCUAACUACGUGCCAGCAGCCGCGGUAAUACGUAGGUGGCAAGCGUUGUCCGGAUUUACUGGGUGUAAAGGGCGUGCAGCCGGGAAGACAAGUCAGAUGUGAAAUCCCGCGGCUCAACCGCGGAACUGCAUUUGAAACUGUUUUUCUUGAGUACCGGAGAGGUCAUCGGAAUUCCUUGUGUAGCGGUGAAAUGCGUAGAUAUUAGGAGGAACACCGGUGGCGAAGGCGACUUACUGGACUGUAACUGACGCUGAGGCAUGAGAGCAUGGGGAGCAAACAGGAUUAGAUACCCGAGUAGUC
rnacentral:rRNA from 1 species